AAGACCAUACUUUCAGGAUCAUUUCUAUAGUCUGAUCAGUACUAGAGAAGUUUCUCUGAACGAGUAGAGCAUGGAAACCACCAGGAGGAGGCGCAGCGUCCUCUUCUGAGCGUGAAGCCGGUCUCGGUGUCGCUUCGCUGCAACUGCCAUUUGCAAUCGAAGACCGUCCUUCUCUUCCUUUGGGAGAGUGAGAGGGAGAGGACAGUCUGAGCUGU
rnacentral:snoRNA from 1 species